rnacentral:rRNA from 1 species
GACGAACGCUGGCGGCGUGCUUAACACUUGCAAGUCGAACGAAGAGCGAUGGAAGCUUGCUUCUAUCAAUCUUAGUGGCGAACGGGUGAGUAACGCGUAAUCAACCUGCCCUUCAGAGGGGGACAACAGUUGGAAACGACUGCUAAUACCGCAUACGAUCUAAUCUCGGCAUCGAGGAUAGAUGAAAGGUGGCCUCUACAUGUAAGCUAUCACUGAAGGAGGGGAUUGCGUCUGAUUAGCUAGUUGGAGGGGUAACGGCCCACCAAGGCGAUGAUCAGUAGCCGGUCUGAGAGGAUGAACGGCCACAUUGGGACUGAGACACGGCCCAGACUCCUACGGGAGGCAGCAGUGGGGAACCUUCCGCAAUGGACGAAAGUCUGACGGAGCAACGCCGCGUGAGUGAUGACGGCCUUCGGGUUGUAAAGCUCUGUUAAUCGGGACGAAAGGCCUUCUUGCGAAUAGUGAGAAGGAUUGACGGUACCGGAAUAGAAAGCCACGGCUAACUACGUG